rnacentral:ncRNA from 1 species
UCUCGCCCGUUGCGUGAUGGUUAAGGCCAUGACGCCUGUGCGACUUUUUAUCUGGUCCGUGCCGCUGGCUCACAAGGCCACCGCCAUGCGUACUCCGGAGACCGCGAGCACGUCGCUCGGCCGGUCCGGCGCAGUUGUCCGGCUGAGCAUUCGGCCGGGUGACGUGUAAAGCACGGAAUGACG